rnacentral:lncRNA from 1 species
CGCAGACGCACUGUGGGUGGAUGGCUGGUGGACGCCUCUCCCAAGAGAGCUUGUCUGCCUCACACCCUAGGACGGCCCACCCUAUUCUACCUGCUCUCUUUUCUCAGCCCCCACCCCAGGCCAAGCACCAACACUGUUAAGCUCGACUUGUGAUAACUCUGACACCGAGAGAAGCUCGCCCAAGAGUUGCUCGCGAGGUUCCUGUGGCAGCUUGCUGCUUCAGUGGCCUUGCCUCAUGCCGGUUGGUGACCCUGGUGGUUUCUUCAGGAUUGAACUGCAGCUGCCUGGGGUCUGCUUGCCGAGAGGACUGGUCUGCAGCUGCUGAACCAUAUUUGGUGUUCGCUACAGGGCUGAAUUGCUGCCCGAGAAGAUCAAGCUCGCCCCUAAAUAACGAUGCAGGUCCACUUCCCCCCAUCCUAAUAACUUCUACUACCUCUGCUGGGUGGGAGGCAAAAGCAGACGUUGAACCCUUAUUAAAAGUAGGUUGCAAGAGACUUAUGCCUAUACCCCACCCAGGGGGCCCCCUGAAUAUUGCCCUUUGCCCUGCUGGUUCCAGCCCUCAGGAGGCCACAGCCCUGUCAUUAGGACAAGCAGCCACAAGCACGGGGACACACAUAGGACCUCACUGCAUGCUGAAUCUGGGGUGAAGUUCAGACUGCCAAGAGAAACACAGGCUGCAGCAGAUCUGCCACACAGCCCAAACCAGUCCUGGUCAGAGCAAUCCCCAUGAGUGGACACUCACAACACUUCUAAUGGUGGCCAGUGGUCAAACUGGACAGAGUUAAUACAGAUGAGCGAGCUCCCAUACGUUUAUGGGACCAUAGAUCCAGGAGACAGUGAUGGGCUUGGCUUUCUGCUGGCAGGAAGGCUGAGACGGCCAGGAGAGUUACCUAGGACUGUGGCCCAGGGUUGGGUGGUGUAGAGGUUUUCCUGUGCAAGGCUUCUGAUAUAAGGGUGUCUGAGCCCCUGGCGAUAGGAGUAGCAUGGGAAAGGCUAUAGCAGAGCUGACUCAGAAGUCCCUGAUGACAAGGGCGUACGUCAGCAGGAGUGGUUCUUUUUCGCAAGACACAAAACUUUCUAGGAAAGAAACCAUGAUAAAAGAGUGUGGUGCGGGGCUGGGGAUUUAGCUCAGUGGUAGAGCGCUUGCCUAGGAAGCGCAAGGCCCUGGGUUCGGUCCCCAGCUCCGAAAAAAAGAACCAAAAAAAAAAAAAAAAAAGAGUGUGGUGCUUUGAAUGAGACUAUACCUAAUAGGUUCAUAUACUUGAGUACUUGGUCAUCAGGGAGUGGAACUGUUGGAAAGGAUUAGAAGGAUGAGAAGGGAUGUCCUUGUUGGAGGAAGCGUGUUAAUGGGGGUGGGCGUUGAGGUUUCAAAAGCUCAAGCCAGGCCCAAUUAUCUCUCUCCCUUGGUC